rnacentral:rRNA from 1 species
AUUGAACGCUGGCGGCAGGCCUAACACAUGCAAGUCGAACGGUAACAGGAAGCAGCUUGCUGCUUCGCUGACGAGUGGCGGACGGGUGAGUAAUGUCUGGGAAACUGCCUGAUGGCGGGGGAUAACUACUGGAAACGGUAGCUAAUACCGCAUAACGUCGCAAGACCAAAGAGGGGGACCUUAGGGCCUCUUGCCAUCGGAUGUGCCCAGAUGGGAUUAGCUAGUAGGUGGGGUAACGGCUCACCUAGGCGACGAUCCCUAGCUGGUCUGAGAGGAUGACCAGCCACACUGGAACUGAGACACGGUCCAGACUCCUACGGGAGGCAGCAGUGGGGAAUAUUGCACAAUGGGCGCAAGCCUGAUGCAGCCAUGCCGCGUGUAUGAAGAAGGCCUUCGGGUUGUAAAGUACUUUCAGCGGGGAGGAAGGGAGUAAAGUUAAUACCUGUGCUCAUUGACGUUACCCGCAGAAGAAGCACCGGCUAACUCCGUG